UACAGAGGAUGCAAGCGUUGUCCGGAAUGAUUGGGCGUAAAGCGUGUGUAGGCGGCUUUUUAAGUCCGCCGUGAAAUCCCAGGGCUCAACUCUGGACAGGCGGUGGAAACUGCCAAGCUGGAGUACGGUAGGGGCAGAGGGAAUUUCCGGUGGAGCGGUGAAAUGCGUAGAGAUCGGGAAGAACACCAACGGCGAAAGCACUCUGCUGGGCCGACACUGACACUGAGAGACGAAAGCUAGGGGAGCGAAUGGG
rnacentral:rRNA from 1 species